AGAACAUAUGUGUAAGUAACUGUGCACAUCUUGACGGUACCUAAUCAGAAAGCCACGGCUAACUACGUGCCAGCAGCCGCGGUAAUACGUAGGUGGCAAGCGUUAUCCGGAAUUAUUGGGCGUAAAGCGCGCGUAGGCGGUUUUUUAAGUCUGAUGUGAAAGCCCACGGCUCAACCGUGGAGGGUCAUUGGAAACUGGAAAACUUGAGUGCAGAAGAGGAAAGUGGAAUUCCAUGUGUAGCGGUGAAAUGCGCAGAGAUAUGGAGGAACACCAGUGGCGAAGGCGACUUUCUGGUCUGUAACUGACGCUGAUGUGCGAAAGCGUGGGGAUCAAACAGGAUUAGAUACCCUGGUAGU
rnacentral:rRNA from 1 species